rnacentral:rRNA from 1 species
CCCCACUAUACUCUUUCGUUAAAAUUUUUACCAGAGUAGUACAAUUAUUAUAAUUGAAACUCAAAGAACUUGGCGGUUUUCUAGAUCUUUUCGGAGGAGCCUGUCAUCAAAUUGAUACCCCACAAGAUACCUUACCACUCCUUGUUAACAGUUUGUAUACCAUCGUCGUCAGCUCACUUCUUAAGAAGUGAGCAAAAUGAAAAACUCAUUAUGUCAGAUCAAGGUGCAGCCAAUGGAAUGGGGAUAGAUGUGCUACUUUUUUUAUAUAAUUGAGGAUAUAGAAAUGAAAUUUUUUAUUAAAAAAGGAUUCGAUAGUAAUUAACUAUAGAUUUAGUUGAUGAAGUAAGCUCUAGAUUGUGCACACACCGCCCG